rnacentral:rRNA from 1 species
GUGUCAGCCGCCGCGGUAAUACGUAGGUGGCGAGCGUUGUCCGGAAUUACUGGGUGUAAAGGGCGUGUAGACGGGUAUGCAAGUCAGAUGUGAAAUUCCAGGGCUCAACCCUGGCGCUGCAUCUGAAACUGUAUAUCUUGAGUGCUGGAGAGGAAAGCGGAAUUCCUAGUGUAGCGGUGAAAUGCGUAGUUAUUAGGAGGAACACCAGUGGCGAAGGCGGCUUUCUGGACAGUAACUGACGUUGAGGCGCGAAAGCGUGGGGAGCAAACAGGAUUAGAUACCCUGGUAGUCCACGCCGUAAACGAUGGAUACUAGGUGUAGGAGGUAUCGACCCCUUCUGUGCCGGAGUUAACACAAUAAGUAUCCCACCUGGGGAGUACGGCCGCAAGGUUGAAACUUAAAUGAAUUGGCGG